GGCGGACGGGUGAGUAACGCGUAGGAAUCUAUCCUUGAAUGGGGGACAACCGUGGGAAACUACGGCUAAUACCGCAUGAUGCCUGAGGGCCUAAAGACGAAAGUCGUUUGAGGAGGAGCCUGCGUCUGAUUAGGUAGUUGGUGGGGUAAAGGCCUACCAAGCCUACGAUCAGUAGCUGGUCUGAGAGGAUGAUCAGCCACAUUGGGACUGAGACACGGCCCAAACUCCUACGGGAGGCAGCAGUGGGGAAUAUUGGACAAUGGGCGCAAGCCUGAUCCAGCAAUGCCGCGUGGGUGAAGAAGGUCUUCGGAUUGUAAAGCCCUUUUGGCGGGGACGAUGAUGACGGUACCCGCAGAAUAAGCUCCGGCUAACUUCGUG
rnacentral:rRNA from 1 species